CCUACGGGGGGCUGCAGUGAGGAAUAUUGGUCAAUGGGCGCGAGCCUGAACCAGCCAAGUCGCGUGAGGGAAGACGGUCCUAUGGAUUGUCAACCUCUUUUGUCGGGGAGCAAAAGACGCCACGCGUGGCGUUCCGAGUGUACCCGACGAAAAAGCAUCGGCUAACUCCGUGCCAGCAGCCGCGGUAAUACGGAGGAUGCGAGCGUUCUCCGGAUUUAUUGGGUUUAAGGGGUGCGCAGGGGGACGAUAAAGUCAGCGGUAAAAUUGAGUGGCUAAACCUCAAAGAGCCGUUGAAACUGGUUUUCUUGAGUGAGGGAGAAGUAUGCGGAAUGCGUGGUGUAGCGGUGAAAUGCAUAGAGAUCACGAAGAACUCCGAUUGCGAAGGCAGCAUACUGGCGCUCAACUGACGCUCAUGCACGAAAGUGUGGGUAUCGAACAGGAUUAGAUACCCGGGUAGUC
rnacentral:rRNA from 1 species